rnacentral:misc_RNA from 1 species
GAUGAAGAACGUAGCGAAAUGCGAUAAGUAAUGUGAAUUGCAGAAUUCAGUGAAUCAUCGAAUCUUUGAACGCACCUUGCGCCCUUUGGCCAUUCCGAAGGGCAUGCCUGUUUGAGUAUCAUGAACACCUCAACUCUUCAUGGUUUUCCAUGAUGAGCUUGGACUUUGGGGGUCUUGCUGGCCUGUGGGUCGGCUCCUCUCAAAUGAAUCAGCUUGCCAGUUUUUGGUGGGCAUCACAGGUGUGAUAACUAUCUACGCUUGUGGUUUUCCACCAGGGUAACCUUCAGCAGUGGAGGUUCACUGGAGCUUACAAAUGUCUCUCCUCUGUGAGGACAGCCCUUUGAAUGUUUGAUCUCAAAUCAGGUAGGACUACCCGCUGAACUUAAGCAUAUCAAUAAGCGGAGA